UCCAAAUUAAAAAAGUGCUCCGUUCUAUCGUUUAUUUUCAAAAAAAUGUGCUCCAUUAUAGUGUGUGACCCGCCAAGGUCAUACGAACGCUCUGACGAGAGAGAGAGAGAUAUGGCGUCUUGGUUUUUGGAUUUGUAGAAAUAUGAAGGAAUUGGGGACAUGUGCUCCCUACUCCCUACCUACAAUUCUGGAGAAUGGCGGAUGAUGGCUACAAAUUACAUUGGUGCAUUCUGUUUGACCAAUCUUUUACUACCACUUCUUAAAAAUAGUCCUGUGCCUUCCCAGAUCGUGAAUGUUACAUUUUUUUACUCAUCCAAAUGGUAAAAUUGGUUUGUAGUUAUGUAUGUGAACAUGUUUCUAUGAACAAUUAGUGGUACAUUAGGGAAAAACUAGUACACUUCUAAUUAUUGCCUGUGUACUACUUGCUCAUCCUUGAUUCUAUGCCAAUGCCAUUACUUUGGCAUUGGCUCUGAAAUUGCUGUCCAUUUCUGAUACAUUCAAUCUGCCGAUAUGAUGACGUUAGUUGGAAAAAAAGUGAAAAGAGAAAAGCAAAGAAAAGAGAAGUUAAAGAAGGAGACUUGUAAAAGAAUGUUAGUGCUGGAAAUUUUGUUUGACAGGCAUAUUGAUGUGUCAAAGAGGUCACCAGGCUUAAGUUGUAAUGUUUCAUUAAUAUGGUAAAUGAAUGAAUGUGCUAACUUACUAACAUCUGACUGUUGCCUUAACUGAAAAUGGCAAAAGAAAAGUGCAUGCUGAUUGAUCCCUCAGGAUAAGAUAUGCUAUGAUGGCUUUCCAUUGAGCCAAAAAGAUAAGAUAUGCUGUAAUGAGAGUUCCUGCAAUAUCACCUUUUCCACAUGGUGCUUGAUGGUUUGUUAAAUUUCUUUAUAAGCAGGAAUUUAUAGUUAGAAGAGUUCAAACCCAUAAUUGCAUCGGCUAACAGAUUAUUUAACACAAAAUUCAUGAACUCCUUGUUCUUCAGUUUUUAAUUUGCAGGUUGACUAGGAAACUGUUUCGGGGAAGUGCUUCUCAAGAACAAAACCAUAUCCAUGUGCUCGUAUUUAUGAGAAUUCUAAAUUGCUGUGGAUCCCGGAGUAGUGGAAACCAAUAUUAUGCGAGAGGUUCCCUCGUGCCUUUCUUGUGUAGCAUUUACAUUUUACAGUCUUGAAGCUUCUCAGCCUUUUGCAAUCACCUAAAAAAGGGAUAAGCUCUGUUCUUGAUGCAGCCCUUGUGCAACCAGAUAUAUCUGGAGUAUACCUUUUCAGUGGAAAGGGUAGAACCAUUAACUCUUCUGCACUUUCGCACAACAGCAAACUUGCACAUGAACCUUGGACCACUUCAUACAAUCUGUUUAUGCAGUCAUAGCUUGCUGUUAAGGUUAAGGAAAUUUCCACGUGAAUAUUUGAUUGUAAUAGGGAGGGAAUGUCUUCAUCAACGAAAAGCAAAGAGAAAUAGCACGGAUUUGAAAUGGUGGCAGUUGCACGGAGUGCGGUUGAUGGCCUGUUCACUUCUCAGUUUGUCAGUCCUUUUGCAUCAUGGAUGUUGUGAUAGAUGCAGUCUUGCAGUUGCAGAGCUGUAAUUGGAACUUGUUUAUGUUAUUUCUUUGCAAAAGCCUCGAGAGCUUUUCAGAUAUCAUGGUUCUUUAAAAGUAAGAUCAGAAAAGAAAUGGUGGAACACAGCAACAGAAGCCAAAUGGAGACAUCGUUGUUCAUGUUGUUUGUGGGAAAUAGUGGAGACGUAAGUGGAACUUGUUUAAGUUUUGUGGGCUGAAUAUAUAAAAUGUUAACAACGCGUUUACAUAAAUGUUAAUUGUUUUUGUUUCAAGACAUAUGAGAAAAGGAGGAAAGCCUCAAAGUGACUGCUGCUGCAGCAAUAUAUAUAUGUAGAUGAUGCCAUAUCUUAUGUGAAUGAAUGCAUAUGGAUUGUAGUCUAAAUAGAAAGGA